UGUCCAUUGAUAUUGCCGUUGUUCCAGU
rnacentral:piRNA from 1 species